UCUCUCGCUCUCUCCGCCGAAUCCAGUCGAUUUCAGCUCGCCAUCUCUGUCGAUUCCAUCUUCUAGAUCUCUCGCUCUCUCCGCCGAAUCCAGUGCUCGGCAUCUGCUCUCCUCAAUCUCAGAUUUUCAAUCUUCGCCGAAUCUGCAGCUCUCCUCAACUCUGAUUUCAAUCUCAGAUUUUCAAGUUUUGCAGGUGAGUUCAAAGUGAGUUCGUAGAAGCUGUAAUUUGUUCCAUGUAUUGUUAAUUUGUUCCCUAUUUUUAUUUCUGUUGAGACUUGAAUGAUGAAUUUGAAUUCUGUAAUGUGUUGUUGGAUUUGGUAAUGUAAUGUUGGUUUAAGAAAAAUUUUGGUAUCAGGUUUCAG